UACGUAGGGUGCAAGCGUUGUCCGGAAUUAUUGGGCGUAAAGAGCUCGUAGGCGGUUUGUCGCGUCUGGUGUGAAAAUCCAGGGCUUAACCCUGGACCUGCAUCGGGUACGGGCAGACUAGAGUGCGGUAGGGGAGAUCGGAAUUCCUGGUGUAGCGGUGAAAUGCGCAGAUAUCAGGAGGAACACCGGUGGCGAAGGCGGAUCUCUGGGCCUUACCUGACGCUGAGGAGCGAAAGCAUGGGGAGCAAACAGG
rnacentral:rRNA from 1 species